CUGAAGACACCGAAUGCUCUGGUAAGACCAAGGGACAAGAAGACACUGAAAAGACAAACAAAAAAAGAGAGGCUCCAUUGGGUAUUGCUUAAACAGGUGUGACUGAGUACAGAUGAACUGAGGACCCUGGAAACGACCUCGCUUUGGAAGUACAGUGCAGUCAUCCAUAAAGUAGAAAGCACUACUAAACCCCUCGCCACAGUGUAGUGUUUCCUACUUUAUGGAUGAGUGUACUGUUGGCUACUGGGAACACAUUCUCACACUUUUACCAAUUCAACAUUGUGGACAGGGUACAAAAGAGGAACUGGCUUUGUUUCAUAAGACUUGUCCACAGCUCACUGUGUUCAUUUUAAGCCACAUGAGCUGCUGUACUUGAAGAAGCAAAGGCAAACUAGUUGUUGUAAAUGUGUCUGAUUUGUUCUGGACUUUCAUUAAUAAAACUAAACAAAAAAGUUA